rnacentral:tRNA from 1 species
UGUAUAAAAGUGUUAGAUGCACAUGAGAUUUUGAUUCUUAUAGGGUGGUUUAAUUCCAUAUUAUAUAA